CCGCGUGUAGAGCGAAGCAGCAAACGCAUCCCGCUGUAAACGGGCCGGUCCAUCGACCUUCGCAGGUGCAAGUCCUGCCGCGCGGACCA
rnacentral:tRNA from 1 species